UAGGGAAUCUUCGGCAAUGGACGAAAGUCUGACCGAGCAACGCCGCGUGAGUGAAGAAGGUUUUCGGAUCGUAAAACUCUGUUGUUAGAGAAGAACAAGGACGUUAGUAACUGAACGUCCCCUGACGGUAUCUAACCAGAAAGCCACGGCUAACUACGUGCCAGCAGCCGCGGUAAUACGUAGGUGGCAAGCGUUGUCCGGAUUUAUUGGGCGUAAAGUGAGCGCAGGCGGUUUCUUAAGUCUGAUGUGAAAGCCCCCGGCUCAACCGGGGAGGGUCAUUGGAGACUGGGAGACUUGAGUGCAGAAGAGGGGAGUGGAAUUCCAUGUGUAGCGGUGAAAUGCGUAGAUAUAUGGAAGAACACCGGUGGCGAAGGCGGCUCUCUGGUCUGUAACUGACGCUGAGGCUCGAAAGCGUGGGGAGCAAACAGG
rnacentral:rRNA from 1 species